AUUGAACGCUGGCGGCAGGCUUAACACAUGCAAGUCGAGCGGAGAUGAGGUGCUUGCACCUUAUCUUAGCGGCGGACGGGUGAGUAAUGCUUAGGAAUCUGCCUAUUAGUGGGGGACACCAUUCCGAAAGGAAUGCUAAUACCGCAUACGUCCUACGGGAGAAAGCAGGGGAUCUUCGGACCUUGCGCUAAUAGAUGAGCCUAAGUCGGAUUAGCUAGUUGGUGGGGUAAAGGCCUACCAAGGCGACGAUCUGUAGCGGGUCUGAGAGGAUGAUCCGCCACACUGGGACUGAGACACGGCCCAGACUCCUACGGGAGGCAGCAGUGGGGAAUAUUGGACAAUGGGGGGAACCCUGAUCCAGCCAUGCCGCGUGUGUGAAGAAGGCCUUAUGGUUGUAAAGCACUUUAAGCGAGGAGGAGGCUACUGAGACUAAUACUCUUGGAUAGUGGACGUUACUCGCAGAGUAAGCACCGGCUAACUCUGUGCCAGCAGCCGCGGUAAAAC
rnacentral:rRNA from 1 species